CCAGCCUGCCCAGUGACAAAGUUCAACGGCCGCGGUACCCUAACCGUGCGAAGGUAGCAUAAUCACUUGUUCUUUAAAUAAGGACUAGUAUCAAUGGCAUCACGAGGAUCGCACUGUCUCCUAUCUCUAAUCAGUGAAACUGAUCUCCUCGUGAAAAAGCGAGGAUAGAACUAUAAGACGAGAAGACCCCAUGGAGCUUUAAACCCUCCAGCAACUUAAUGAAAUACUCCUUUAUAAUUACAAAGAAAUGCCUACGGUUUUAAGUUGGGGCGACUGCGGGGUAAAAACCAACCCCCACGACGAAAAGACAUAAACCUUUAUCCAAGAGCCACUACUCUAAGAAUUAGGACACUAACGUAAAAUGACCCAUCAAUGAUCAACGAACCAAGUUACCCUGGGGAUAACAGCGCAAUCUACUUCAAGAGCCCAUAUCGACAAGUAGGCUUACGACCUCGAUGUUGGAUCAGGGUAUCCCAGUGGUGCAGCCGCUACUGAAGGUU
rnacentral:rRNA from 1 species